rnacentral:rRNA from 1 species
AUUGAACGCUGGCGGCAGGCCUAACACAUGCAAGUCGAACGAGUGGCGGACGGGUGAGUAAUGUCUGGGAAACUGCCUGAUGGAGGGGGAUCACUACUGGAAACGGUAGCUAAUACCGCAUACCAUCGGAUGUGCCCAGAUGGGCUUAGCUAGUAGGUGGGGUAAAGGCUCACCUAGGCGACGAUCCCUAGCUGGUCUGAGAGGAUGACCAGCCACACUGGAACUGCGACAAGGGCCAGACGCCUACGGGAGGCAGAAGGGGGGAAUAGUGAACAAUGGGAGCAAUCCUGAUGCAGCCAUGCCGCGUGUAUGAAGAAGGACUUCGGGUUGUAAAGUACUUUCAGCUGGGAGGCGUGACCCGCAGAAGAAGCACCGGCUAACUCCGUGCCAGCCGCCGCGGUAAUAC